UGCGUAGGCGGCUUAGCAAGUCAGAAGUGAAAGGCAUUGGCUCAACCAAUGUAAGCUUUUGAAACUGUUAGGCUUGAGUGCAGGAGAGGAAAGUGGAAUUCCUAGUGUAGCGGUGAAAUGCGUAGAUAUUAGGAGGAACACCAGUGGCGAAGGCGACUUUCUGGACUGUAACUGACGCUGAGGCACGAAAGCGUGGGGAGCGAACA
rnacentral:rRNA from 1 species